GACGAACGCUGGCGGCGUGCUUAACACAUGCAAGUCGAACGGAAAGGCCCUGCUUUUGUGGGGUGCUCGAGUGGCGAACGGGUGAGUAACACGUGAGUAACCUGCCCUUGACUUUGUGAUAACUUCAGGAAACUGGGGCUAAUACCGGAUAUGAUCUCCUGCUGCAUGGUGGUGGUUGGAAAGUUUCGGCGGUUGGGGAUGGACUCGCGGCUUAUCGGCUUGUUGGUGGGGUAGUUGCUUACCAAGGCUUUGACGGGUAGCCGGCCUGAGAGGGUGACAGGCCACACUGGGACUGAGAUACGGCCCAGACUCCUACGGGAGGGAGCAGUGGGGAAUAUUGAACAAUGGGCGGCAGCCUGAUGCAGAAACGCCGCGUGCGGGAUAACGGCCUUCGGGGUGUAAACCGCUUUCGCCUGUGACGAAGCGUGAGUGACGGUAAUGGGUAAAGAAGCACCGGCUAACUACGUG
rnacentral:rRNA from 1 species